CAUUUCUAUUUCAAGGCUAUUAACAGUGGAGCAGCUGUACACUACCAGAGAAUUUUUAGAAAUCAUAAUGAAAUUAAACAGCAGAUACGUUUUCCUGAUUUAAGCCUUAUAGUUGUUUCUGUGAAGUUUUACAACUUUCUUCUGCAACCAACCCUUCUAAGGAAGUUGAGGAUUUCUUCUCUCUGUUUUUCCCUCAUCAUCUUCUAAUGAUAACAUAGAGAUCAAAACUCAAGUGGUAAAAAGGAGGCAAGAAUCCUGCUCCUCCUGGAUACACCAGUUUUGGAUGUCAAACCGAAUGCUCCAUUAUCUCUACAGAUCACGCUGACUCUUCACACUGUGGAACAUUUCAACCUCCUCU
rnacentral:lncRNA from 1 species